UUCAAUCUACAACAACACGUGAAUGGGCCAACUCACAAGAAGGGUCACACCCUAGAUUUGAUAAUAACAAGGAUUGGCGAACGACUGGUGACUAACAUUGAAAUACAGGACCCCAUGUUUUCAGAUCAUUCAGCUGUAAGCUGUACGUUACAGCUUGAGAAACCACCACUGGAACGUUCAGAAAUCCAGUAUCGCAAGCUGCGGAAUAUAAACAUGGAUAGUUUUAACGAAGACCCAAGAAAGUCGAACUUCAGUAGUGACAGUGAGCUACCACCAACUACUAUCGAUCAGUACGAAAAGACUUUGGAAGAAACUUUACAGAAACAUGCGCCUUUAAAACGAAGAACUAUUACUCUCCGGCCAUCAGCACCAUUGUAUAACGAGAAAAUUGGUAAAGCC